CGCGAGGGGCCAUUCCGACUGCCUCUGGGUGCCGGCGCCCUCGCGAGGCUGGGCUGCACCGGAAGUUGGGUAGCCGCGGCUGCAGCGCCGGCCGUGGAUUGUAAGUCUAGGCCUACAACCCAAGUGCAUACCUGACUGUCGUGGGUUCGACCUGACUGAGAGUCUAUUCGGAGCCGGCCUGAGCCGAGCCGCGCGGCGCUGACUGGGUUACACCCUUAGUGGCGUCAGGCUGGCCGCUCUUGCCCGUUCACGGAGCAGUAGAGAUCCAUAGACUUGAGUAAUGUGAACCGUUCGUGCAACUGCUUGUGCCAAACUCCCAGGUUUCUGCCUUCUCAGCCUGUGAUGCUGCCCAGUUUCCUUCCCAGCAGGUUUGAAGUUGAGUCGCGGCCCCUGGAGCAUCCUGCAGCCCUGUCCCUGAGAAGGGCGCCCCCUCCAACCUGCUGGACGACCCCGCACUACCAGCGGCUGACUGCUGAGCGGGCUGUUCCCAGUCAUUCCAGGCCUCCUCGGCAGGGCUAACGCGCUGACUUUUCUACAGAACCGCACAUUUUCCCAAGAGGUCUGAAUCCUUCUCACGGUUCUUUUGCUGGGUACCCUUUCUCAGCCUGGGGGCAUUUUCUGGAGUUUCCUUUGGUUUCAGUU
rnacentral:lncRNA from 1 species